UCGAGCGACACCACACCAGAUCCCCUCGCCGUUGCCCUCGCCCUCGCAGCCGCCGCCGAUCCCCUCCCCCAUCUUCCUCCCUCAAACGCUAACCCGUCUCCGCACCGCGACCGCCACCUCCCGUCGUGGCCGCCCCCGCCACCUCCCGCCGCGGCCGCCGCCUCAGCUCCAGCCGUGGCCAUCGCGCCCAGAUCCAGCCACGGCCGCCGCCCCCACGUCCCACCGCGGCCGCUGCCCUGCGUGCCAACGACCCCUUCCCCCGCCGCAUUACAAACUCCCUCGGGCACAAGGAUUUACAUCGGCACGCUACCAGGAAGGCAGCCCACGCACGCAUCGUCCCCCCAUCUCUCUCGUUUCCUCUCCCCCAGCUCUAGGGUUCCCAGCCCCACUGCACCGCCGCCACAGCGCACAGCCCCUCCCAAUCUCGUUUCCGAUUUACCUCCUCUCUCCUCCCGUCACGGCCCUGAAUCAUCCCCCUCCUCCCGCACUUCUUCGUGCGUGGCCGCCGGCCUUGUCGUCUUCACCGACGGGAGGAGGCGAGUAGCAGCCGCACCAAGCGGUAGCAGUUGAUUAGGCCUUUGGCCAAUUGUGUAUGAUUAGAAGCCUUGGCUGAAUGUAUUUGCGUCUUGUUUUUUGGGCUCCUAUGUUCUCUUUUGAUUAAGCCCACUGUGUUCUCCUCUCACUAAGCCCUUGGCUAAUUGUGUUUGAUUAAAGGCCUUGGCUGAUUGCAUCCUUUUUAUUAUUAUUAGAUGGUCUACUCCCGAUGAUGUCAUCCUUUCCAGUGGAGCGCGGGAGCGUCGUCGAGAGAUUCGUCAAGGAAAGUGACCUGUUGUCUCAUCUGCUGGCCAAUCCUCUGGUUUGGCGGUCAGUUUGUUGCGUGCUUCUCCUGUCCUGAAUUUGGGGUCUUGUUCAGUGGCUGCUGAACCUGCUUUCUUUGUUUUGAAUCCGAACUUGGGAUCUUCUUCAAUGGCUGCUCAGUCAUUCAACCGUUUGUCUGGAACUUUUCAUUUGUGUAUGUUGUCUUCCUCUUACCUCUUCUUUUUUCCAGUUGGUUAAAUCAAAUAAGUUUAGGUUUUCCCAAAAAAGCAUUUCUUACUUUUUUUGAUACAGUGAGGAAUUUAUGUUGAUUUGAAUAGAAAAUUUGUCCUUCAAGAGUAAUGAACAAAAAGGGCAGCCGGUGCAUGUAGCUCCCGCUUGCGCAGGGUCGGGGAAGGGUCUGACCACUUUGGGUCUAUAGUACGCAGCCUUUCCCUACAUUUCUGUAAGAGGCUGUUUCCAGGACUUGAACCCGUGACCUCAUGGUCACAAGGUAGCAGCUUUACCACUGCGCCAAGGCUCCCCUUCAAGAGUAAUGAACAAUCAAACAAUUUUGGAUUGAGCUAAACUGUUACAAUAGAAAUUUUUUUAUCUCUUAUUCUUAUUAUUAGCUAACAUCCUUAUGUUAUGGGACGAGGGAGUAGUUUAUAAGGUUCUGUUUAUAAACUUUCUGUACUCAGUUUAUAAUGUUUCUCUUAUUCUAUUAUUAGCUAACAUCCUUAUAAAUCAGAGAUUCUGUGUAUCAUCACAGUUAUAAGCACAUACCAAAUUUAGCUACAUCUUAGACUUAUCUUCAUACAAAUUAUAUCCUUUUGACUUCAGGUACUUAUGUAUUGUCGAAAUCUGGUCAUUUGUAUUCUUCUCAGAAACUGCAUAAUGGCACCUUGCCGUUCUUUUCAGUUUGUCUCCUUAUGAUCCCCGCUUCAAUCUUUCUACUUGAUCUACAUUUUUUCCCAUGAGUUUAAUUUCUUGAUUUUGAUUCAGAUAUUCAAUAGUUGCUGGUGCGGGCAAUGGACAUUCAGACAUUCCUAUAUUUUUCUGUACUCUGUUCUGUAUUUCAUUUAAUUUGUAUCUUACUUUUUCCUGUAUAUAUAUGAUGCCUAGGAGAAGUGCACUGUACGAUGCAUAUCGGAGAAAAAGGCGCACUACAAGUUCUCCUGCUACUAAAAGAAGUUAGAGCUGCAAAUUCAAUGUUCAGGGAAGCCAAGAUCGGUUGAUAUGAAACUGUAUCUCCUGUUCAAGAUACUGUCAUGGCAACGGUGGAAAGCUGCAGAGGACACAUCCUGAAUUGGUGUUCUUUGCAAUGCCCUGGUGACCGGCGCCAGCAACACGCUACGGCCCGCCGGUUGCACUAAACGGCAGCGUGAACCAUCUGUUUAGGAGUAGCGGCGCAGAAGACGAUGACGUGGCAGAGGAUGGAUUAGAUUGUCCCUAUCAGUGCGGCAGCAACUGGGUUGUGUGCGCAGCCGGGGUCGAGGAGGAAGAACCGCUGCUCACGACCUCGCACUACGACAGCGCAUCUUCUACUAUCGCACCUGUGGAGUCCUAGAUCUGGGAUCGUCGGAAGCAAGUGUACAUCUAGGGAUUUAUUUGAUUUGAAAUGUAUUAUGUUAGCUUAGCCUACUCUGUUGAUGUUGGUAUGUCAGGCUUUUAUAUUUCAGAAACAUGGUCAUUGCAAAUGGCAAUGUCGACAUGGAGGAACGAACCCUUGAAAUCGGGAUGGAGUACAGGACAGUUUCUUGACUUGCUGCUCCUCUUGUGAUUCUUGAUAAAGUGAAUUUGCAGGCAUUACUUCCAAGUCACAACCUGCAUAUUUUAGAAAUUUGUUGGGUAAAUAUUUGAAUAUGGUGCUUUUCUAAGGAGGUAUACAAUUUAUCUUUUGUGGAAUGAGUAUUGAUUUGCUGAUACCCGUAGUUAGCAUACAGAAGAGGCUGCUUGGUUGUCAAAAGAAUUUUAUUAUCUUAUAAAAAGUUCCUAUAUUGGGAUUUUGGAAUAAAGUGCUUCAUUGGAAGUCCGUAAGCAAAAGUUUGGUACUGCUUCAUUGGAUUUCAGUGAGGUUAUGAUAUAGUGCCAGACUGCCAGCCUUAGUACUACUUGUUUCAUGAAUGCUUCUACAUAUUUCUAGGCCGUGCAUUUCUAUGUUUGAUUACUGUAUUUUGUCUCAAACCCUGCUUUACUUGUAUCAUUUGUGUUGUAUGUCAUGGAACCGGAACUAGCAUUUUGGACAACCAUUGGACAAUAUUGUAUAUUCCGACUUCAAUUCCAUGCGAGUACCGAACUUGGCAUUGAGAGUCAUCCCAUGGAACUAAGUUAGCAUUUAUCUCUGAAACCAGAACAUAUAGUUCACUACUGAAGUAGCUACCAAAAUUUUGCAAGGCGUUGGACCUUUUCACAUAUGUUGUUGAUCGUUUCUUCUUUAUUGGUGUACGUUUGGCUGAUUCUGGCGAGAUGUGGCUCGAGCGGAUGUCGUUGAUGUGACAAUGAGAAGAUCCUCUCUUUGAGCCCUCUCCCUCUCGUUUUGCCUCUCAUGCUUCCUGUUUCUCUAUUCUCAAGGGAGUUUCACUGGUUCUUUGGAGGUUUGUGUUAUUAUCUGUCUCGUUUAAAUGACCAAAGGUGUAUGGGAAUUUCUAUGGAAUGUCACUCAAGGAGGGUCAGACAUAGCUCAAAGUUGAGUGAUAUCCUCAUGGCCAACAAGGAUUGAUCCUAAUUCAAGAUUGAAAGUUUUGCUUUCGUGCGAGUGUCAUAUAUAUACAUGUAUUGUUUCUUGGGCAUUGAAAGUUAAGGAAAACACUUUUUUGAUUGGUUCAGCGCAGCUUGCCAUUCGUUGAGAUUUGUUACUUCUGUUAGAAAGCUUCAGUCUGAGUCUGCGCCAUAAUUCCUAACAAUUCAAUGAAGGUCUGGCUUUGUUUUAUCCUUUUCUAUCGCUUCAUAUUCAAUGAAUUCCAAGAUGUAUUAGAUAACUAUUAAUAGUUGUAGAUGUUGCAGGUUGCAGAUACUAUUUAGGAUCAUUUAGUAUCCAAUGCUUUCAUUUUUCUCAAUGCUACUGAAUUAUCCAAUACAAAAUCUAGGGUUCAUUUACCAGCUACACCAUGUAUUUGAUUAUUCACUUGCUGCCAAUAAGUGUCAAUUAUACUAACAUGUCCUGAACUCUUUUGCUUGGUCACCAGAAGAGCAGUGGGUGAAAAUGUUGGCUUAGAAAUUCAGAACAUCAAAGAAGUGGUCGGGGGUCUGGUCAUGGUAUGUAAACACUUUACAGGGUCAGUCUGGCUUAUCAUUUGGACUUGAUUUAAUGAUAUGAACAAUGGUGCAUACAUAUCUCCAGAAUAUAGUUUCUUCAAUGCAGCGUACGUGUCUUUUACUCUAGCUUUUGUAUGCUAAUACUUCCACAAAAAAGUAUGGCCAUCUGUGUAUUGUACAUUAUAAUGUCUGAUUAUUUGUCAGACAGGUUGAGAGCAUAAAUGCAUCAUUAGUCCAUCGAUCCAGUGUGAUUGCUUAGAUCCAGCCGGGUAUAGCUUGCUGCUAGCGUUAUACUAUCUAGAGCAUGUUCUUUUUCUCUUUGUUUAAUUGAAUAGCGUAAUACUAUUGUUAUCAAGAAAUAUGAACAAGCGACAUUGUAGAUCUAUGUCUUCCAUGUUCCCACACUGAUGUUCUUUUGAUAUUCUUCCAUUUACACCAAUCUACUUGUUGGGUGAUAAUCUUGACAAUCAUAAAACCUUUCAGGUCUGCCUAUCUAUUGAUGGUGAUUCUAGCAAAGGUAAUGAUGCAGCAAAAAUGAUGGGAGCGACUCUUCUCGAGAUAUCUUGCAAGUUUGUGCCCGCUUUUCCAGAAUCUGAGAAACAACAACUCAUGAGUAUUUUGUUGUGUUUAUUAUCAUAGCGGACACCACACCCGCUUUUCCAGAAUCUGAGAAACAACAACUCAUGAGUAUUUUGUUGUGUUUAUUAUCAUAGCGGACACCACAAUUCUAAAGCUAUUAGGACUCGGGAGAUGAGUGCCUGAUGGUACUGUUGCUGCAUGUUGGGCAGCCGUAUCAGUAUGGAUCUGCUGUUUUGGGCUACAGCUAAGCUUUGCUACUGCUCUAAAUUGCAGUCUUUUGACCAACCGUGUUACCAAUGAUCAAUAUUUUUUUCCUUCCAGCAUUGCCUUAUUGUCUCUACUCCGGCUGCACUGUCAAUUUUGUGGUAGUCAUUUUCCAACAGUGAGUAGUGCUUUCUUUUCAGAAAUGAGCAGUGUGUUGUUUGUGUGGGUGCACAUUAUUUAGAAUCUUAUUGUCGUUGCUUUCAAAAUAAGUAUCAUGGUGCCUGGCCACUUAUUAAGCUCAUAAUUUGCCGUUGCUUUCCACUUUGUUUAUACAGAUGUUUGUUCGUGCAAUGCAUUGGAAUUAAUCAUGAAAUAAUUUGCUUAAUAUUUCGUUUUCCAUUCCUUGUUUGGUAUUAAGAUACAACAAGCGAACAACGACAUCAGGUUGUCGGCAGUAGUGACAUCAACGGAUGGAGGGUGCGAGUGCUGCAACUCCGGCGGGAUGCUAGAGCUCGUGGUGACAUUUACGGCGGUGUGCCUGGGCGCCAUGAAGGAUGGAUCUGGCGCCGCGACCGAGAUGACAAGAGGACCAGCUGAGGGGGGCUCGACAAGGCGGCACUGCCAGCCAUGCCGGUGUUCGAAUUCAAGACGGGGCCUCGAUGGGUUGUUACUUGGUAGCUGCUGCAUACGUGUUGCUUCAUUGUUUUGCCUUACUAGAAGUUCCUUUCAGUCAGCUAAAUGUCAAUAUGUUGGAUGAUGUUGUGGAGAGGGCCACCGAGAGGGGGUUUGCAUUGCCAAAGUCGAAGGUGGCCAUUGCCUUGACCUGCCUGGACCUCUUGACCUUUAACAACGCUCAAACAGGAAACACAUGUUGGAGGAGGAGACCACAAGCUAAUUGAUGAUUUGGAUGAGUGGAUCAGAGGACGACAUGAGCAGCUCAAGUCUCUCAACACGCGGAUGGAUGAUGUUGUGGAGAGGGCCAUCGAGAGGGGGUUUGCAUUGCCAAAGUUGAAGGUGGCCAUCGCCUUGACCUGCCUAGACCUCCUGACCUUUCACAACACUCAAACAGGAAACACAUGUUGGAGGAGGAGACCACAAGCUAAUUGAUGAUUUGGAUGAGUGGAUCAAAGGACGACAUGAGCAGAUGUGGAGAGGGUUCUCCUAGCGGUCAUUGAAACUGUGAUAUGCAUUUCCUUGCUCCCGGCUCUGAUCAAGUUUGUAGCGUCUGGGAAUGUGCAUAUGAAAAUCCACAUGACCAUAGCGGACCAUUGCAAUGCGGCAAAUCAAAUUUCAAUACUCAACACACUUCUAUGUGGAUUACCACAAUACGACCUGCAGGAAGACCACAGGUGGAGUGUGCUUGGACGGCAGCUUGGCCGCCAGCUGCAUGCCCUUCUAGGCGGCCAGGCAGAGAUUCUUUGCCUCGGCAACCGCCUUGGCCUAGAGCCAUGCCAGGUCGUCGUCGCCGAGGAUGGACGCCAGCAAUGACAUCGAUCUCUGUGAUACCGACGAAGUUGGUUGUGGGGCGGGACCAUGGCGGGGUGGCAUGAGGCCAUGGUGGGGAGAGGACAUGGGCACGAGGCUGUGGAUAUCGAGCUCCUUCUUUUACAACGAAGGGCAUGACGGAUGGCACCAGCGGAAAGGUGAGCGCCGGUGGAGAUAAGCGAGAAAAGGAGUAGCGCGAGGCGGUAGGCAGCCUUGAAGAGGAUGAGUGGGGCCGCUGCUGGGGGAUGGUCCUAGGGAUUUUUGAAUCAACGAGAGCAGUGUCGGCCCAGGCUAUCUAGAAUGAUUGCAUGUAUUAAUGAAGUAGUCCACGUUAGGUGGAUUGGCUCAAAAUGGAGAAGCAUGAUUGUAUUAAGCAUUUAAGCUCUAAGCAAUUUAGAAUGUCAAUGUCUUGGGGCUCCCUUGCAAUAUUUCAGAGAACUAUAUUUUUUCAGACAUUUUAUAUUGCCUCACGAUGUUUGGGGGAUCUGAUUAGGUAUUGUUUCUCUAUAUAUCUAUCCAUCUCUCCAUUUUAGUUGCUAAUAGAAUAAUGAACAAUUGAUAGGACUAAUCUUAUAGACUUGUUUUCUCCUCAAUC